AUAUCACGGCUGACAGAUUGGAGAGAGACGAUGACUCCCAUUUUUGACUCGGAGACAGCUGGGUGUCGCUGUGUCGAGCAGAGAGAGGGGGACAGAGCGACUACAGAGCAGGGAGACACAGGGCCUGCAUUUCAGCUUUGACUUUGGGAGAGAGAGGGGAAGGGGAGAUCAUGGCUGACGAAUUUGAGAGAGAUAAUGGCCCCCUUUUUUUACUCGGAGACAGCUGGGUGUCGCUGUGGCGAGCGGAGAGAGGGGGACAGAGAGACUACAGAAGAGGGAGACACAGGGCCUGACAGAUUGGAGACGGAUGGGAGCUACGGAUUUGGACUGAGUGAGAGAAAGAUUUUGCUAGCUCCUCUGCCAGGAUCUAUGGGAUUUUCUCCCAUUUUAGAGAGAGAGAUGGACAUGGAGAGAGAUACAGAGCGGAAAGCAUGGGUGUGUGUAUUCUUUAGGGUUGACAGGUUACGAACAGAGUCGGUGAUGAGGGGAUGCCUCAGGGACGAAUGGCAGGGUCUGGCCUUCAUUUCUGUAGCUCGAGAGCUUCGGUGAGAUGAAGGAAAGGAGCAGGGAGAUGGGCUCGAGUCGGCGAACGGCCGAAAAGAUCUUCAGGGAUUACAGUGAUCGGAGAACCGACGCCGUCCACGAUUUAACUAACGAGAGAGAGGUCGAGCAAGGUUUCGUCGAUUUCGGUCAACUUGGGCUACCCCCAACGUUUGGUAAGAUCCCUCGCCGAUCUCUUCUCUCGCCUAUGUCGUCUUACUCCACCGUUCACGUCAGGAAGGCCCGUGCGUGGUUUUUUGGGUGGGGAUUUCAGAUUUCAAGGGGGAGAGAGGCUGUGCUUCGUUUCAAUUGGGCCAAGCCUCUAUCUGCAAAUCGAGUCCCCGGUGAAGCAUAAGCAUUACAGGCCUGCAGUAAAUUCUAGGGAAAGAAGAAGGAAGGAAAUGCCGCGAGGUACGUCACCAGAUCACAAGCUGUCAAGCAGCUUCAAGUCAGUCUUCCCCUCUUCAGAAAAUUGUGUAUUCUAAAGGGCGUGUUCCCUUGGGAGCUGAAGAAAAAGGUGAAAGGAAAUCACCAUACCUAUUAUUACUUGAAUGAUGUUUCUUUAAUUCAGCAUGAACCGCUACUCGAGUAGUUGAGAGAGAUAAAAGCAUACGAAAGAAAAGUAAAGAGAGCCGAUGCGAAGAAGAACAAGGAACGAGCUGCUCUCCUAAAAGAAAGAAGACCCACUUACAAAUUAGAUAGAAUUAUUUUGCAGAGAUAUCCAAAAUUCGUUGAUGCACUUAGAGAUAUAGACGACUGCCUCAGCUAUUGAGGACAGAAUUGAUGUCAAACGCAUUCAUAACUGUCGAAAGGUUGAGUCAUGAAUGACAAGCUUACAUAUCUUGGACUCAUAAAUUGCGUAAAGUCUUUGUAUCUGUUAAAGGCAUAUAUUAUCAGUUUGAGUCUACUGAGUUCUGCGGAUUCACUCAA